AAGAAAAGACAACACAUUCAUAUGCCUUUUUACCGAAGUUUGAUGAAAGAAGAAGGCAUCCGUUUAGAGGCAGUAUAAAAUUACCGCUGGUAUUUACAGGACGUAACCGUGACCCACGCACAGG